UACUAAAGUUGUUGCGGUUAAAAAGCUCGUAGUUGGAUCUUGGAAUGUGUUCAAGCGGGUCAGCUUCUGGCUGUUCGCUGCUUGACGUGUUCUUCUAUUUGGUUUUGGUGCGGUGCGCUUAACUGCGUGUCGCUCCCGGCCGAAACGUUUACCUUGAAAAAAUUAGAGUGUUCAAAGCAGACCUGUUUGAGUCUGAAUAUUCGUGCAUGGAAUAAUGAAAUAUGAAUUCGGUUCUAUUUUGUUGGUUUUCGGAACUCGAGUUAAUGAUCAAGAGGGACAGACGGGGGCAUUCGUACUCUGCCGUUAGAGGUGAAAUUCUUGGAUCGGCGGAAGACGCGCAACAGCGAAAGCAUUUGCCAAGAAUGUUUUCUUUAAUCAAGAACGAUAGUCGGAGGUUCGAAGACGAUCAGAUACCGUCCUAGUUUCGACUGUAAACUAUGCCAGCUAACGAUCAGACAGAGUUCUCUACGACUUGUCUGGCAGUUUCCGGGAAACCAAAGCGUAUGGGUUCCGGGGGAAGUAUGGUUGCAAAGCUGAAACUUAAAGG
rnacentral:rRNA from 1 species